AGCAGCCGCGGUAAUUCCAGCUCCAAUAGCGUAUAUUAAAGUUGUUGCAGUUAAAAAGCUCGUAGUUGAAUUUCGGGGUUAGUAGGUCGGUCAUGCCUCAGGUAUGCACUGGUCUCACUGAUUCCUCCUUCCUGAUGAGCCGUAAUGCCAUUAAUUUGGUGUUGCGGGGAAUCUGGACUGUUACUUUGAAAAAUUAGAGUGUUUAAAGCAGGCUAACGCUUGAAUACAUUAGCAUGGAAUAAUGGAAUAGGGCGUUCGAUCCUAUUUUGUUGGUUUCUAGGACUGACGUAAUGAUUAAUAGGGAUAGUUGGG
rnacentral:misc_RNA from 1 species